GCUGCUUUAUGUUUUAGCAUGAAAGAUGUAAGAAUGCAUAUGAAUCUAUUUGUUCACAUACUUAAGAUUUAUAUAUUGAUGAGAUUUGCUGUUAAUGAGGUAAAUGCUGGGUUUGACGUAAUAUAGGAUAGACAAUGGCCAGUGAGAGUGAUGUCUACAAGCCAACAAAAUAUGUUUGAGCCGAACGUUGUAAAUGCAAAUGAUAUAGUCAUCCUUUUGUAGAUGUGAAAAUCUUGUUUUAUGGCUCCUUACGUUUAAGGGCAGAUUUUAUGACCUUAGGCAUGCACACCCACCUUAUAUAAUCCAUAUAAGCUGUCAUAUCUUGGCAUUUGAGUGCUCAUCGGGUGUAUGACAUGUUAUUCAUUGAACGAGAAUCAUGAAUGAGCUAUGUCAAUUUCAUGUAUUUACUCUGCAUAACGUAAAUGCUAAUAACAUUGACAAAGUAAUUCACAUAAUUUUGUUUGUGUUAUUUGAUAUACUAGUGUCCCUGCAGGUGAAUAUGUGACAUUGCUCUUGCAUAAAAGUGGACUCAACAAUCCCUGUGAUGGAUGUUGCCUCUCCAUGAUUAUCAUCAUGUAUAGGAUGCUUGAGUACCCCAUUUUCAAACAAUAGUUCAAUGAAGUCCCAAGUAUGUGAUCAUUGUAUCCAAGAGCAGACUCCACCUGUGGCUGCAGGGUGGUGAACAGGCACAAGUUUGAGAAUUAGCAGCUCCCAGAUAAGAAUUGGGAUUAACCUGAAAGGAGGCAGGUUUUGUUUAUAUAUACAACUGAGUUGCCUCUCUAGAAUGGAAUGGUGAUUUCUACUUCCAGUUUUCUUGGUAUAAUGGAAUGGAAUGCACAUGUGGUGGAAUGAAUACAUUCCAUCCCUCUCUCAUUUCAUUCAAUCUUACCAAGAAGGGCCUGAGUGUUUGGUCUGGUAGCCUCUCAACCAGCUUGGAACAAGAGAGCGCAAGUUGUAUACAAAUGGCUAAGUCUCAGGAGCUGGUAUUCAUCUUGGAAAAACAACUUGCAUUCAGAGCAAAUGCAGAGAAACACACACACAAUCACUCGAGAAGAGAAGGGCAGUCAUGGCAAUAGAUUAAGAGCCAAGAAGUCUAGUUAUGUGGGAAACAAAAACUACAGACCAGCUGCUGCAGUCAAGUCUCACAAUUCCAAGCAAGAUGGCUCCGUUAAAAUUCAGGAUUCUUAAUUUCUUGCUGUAGUGGAAUUUUAUUUUGGAGAGUUUAUAAUCCAAUCGCACUAUAAUGCGAUGUAAUAAAAGCAUGGGCCAGUCGAUGGAAAACUCAUACCUUUCUCGGCCUUUUGGCUAAGAUCAAGUGUAGUAUCUAUUCUUAUAUGUGUGUCAUUGGCCCACACGAUAUUACAUUUAUUUUUCUCCCAUUUAGGUAGCUUGCUGCUUGGGUCUCUAA